UUAGUUUGAUAUCUGUAUGUCCUCUAUAUUGGGGACUAUAUAUUACAUUUAUUUUUAGAACAGGGAGACGGAAGAGGGGCUUGCUCUGUCUGCUACAUGCAUCGACCUGGUAUUGCAGCACCUCCGGGAACGGUGC
rnacentral:snRNA from 1 species